GACGUAGGGCGCGGGCGUUGUCCGGAUUUAUUGGGCGUAAAGAGCUCGUAGGCGGCUUGUCGCGUCGACCGUGAAAACUUGGGGCUCAACCCCAAGCCUGCGGUCGAUACGGGCAGGCUAGAGUUCGGUAGGGGAGACUGGAAUUCCUGGUGUAGCGGUGAAAUGCGCAGAUAUCAGGAGGAACACCGGUGGCGAAGGCGGGUCUCUGGGCCGAUACUGACGCUGAGGUGCGAAAGCGUGGGGAGCAAACAGG
rnacentral:rRNA from 1 species